ACGGUUAGCUGGUCUGAGAGGAUGGUCAGCCACACUGGGACUGAGACACUGCCCAGACCCCUACGGGAGGCUGCAGUCGAGGAUCAUUCGCAAUGCGCGAAAGCGUGACGAUGCGACGCUGCGUGUAGGAUGACGGCCCUAGGGUUGUAAACUACUGUCAUGAGGGAAGAACCAGCGGUGUGUAAAUAAUGCACCGCUCUGACGGUACCCCAAGAGGAAGCCACGGCUAACUCUGUGCCAGCAGCCGCGGUAAUACAGAGGUGGCGAGCGUUGUUCGGAUUUACUGGGCUUAAAGCGUACGUAGGCGGUUUGGUAUGUCGGAUGUGAAAGCCCAUGGCUCAACUGUGGAACUGCAUACGAAACUACCAUGACUAGAGUGCAGGAGGGGAGAGUGGAAUUCUUGGUGUAGCGGUGAAAUGCGUUGAUAUCAAGAGGAACACCGGUGGCGAAGGCGACUCUCUGGAAUGUAACUGACGCUGAGGUACGAAAGCGUGGGGAGCAAACAGGAUUAGAUACCCUGGUAGUCCACGCCGUAAACGUUGCGGACUUGGUGUUGGAGGUAUUGACCCCUUCAGUGCCGGAGCUAACGCGUUAAGUCCGCCGCCUGGGGAGUACGGCCGCAAGGCUAAAACUCAAAGAAAUUGACGGGGGCCCGCACAAGCGGAGGAGCAUGUGGCUUAAUUCGAUGCAACGCGAAGAACCUUACCAGGGCUUGACAUCUAGCUGCACGCCUCCCGAAAGGGAGGAAGCCUUCGAGGGUGCUAGACAGGUGCUGCAUGACUGUCGUCAGUUCGUGCCGUGAGGUGUUGGGUUAAGUCCCGCAACGAACGCAACCCUUGUGUUUAGUUGCCACCGGUGACGUUAAGUUGCCGAGCACUCUAAACAGACUGCCUGUACAAGCAGGAGGAAGGUGGGGACGACGUCAAGUCAGUAUGGCCCUUACGCCCUGGGCUGCACACGUGCUACAAUGGCUGGUACAAUGGGCUGCAAUACCGCGAGGUGGAGCUAAUCCCCAAAACCAGCCCCAGUUCGGAUUGGAGUCUGAAACUCGACUCCAUGAAGUUGGAUUCGCUAGUAAUGCCGCAUCAGCUACGGCGGCGUGAAUACGUUCCCGGGCCUUGUACACACCGCCCGUCACAUCAUGAAAGCCGUCUGCACCCGUAGUCGCUGAGCCAACCCGCAAGGGAGGCAGGUGCCGAAGGUGUGGGUGGUG
rnacentral:rRNA from 1 species